UACGGGGGGGGCAAGCGUUGUUCGGAAUUACUGGGCGUAAAGGGCUCGUAGGCGGCCAACUAAGUCAGACGUGAAAUCCCUCGGCUUAACCGGGGAACUGCGUCUGAUACUGGAUGGCUUGAGUUCGGGAGAGGGAUGCGGAAUUCCAGGUGUAGCGGUGAAAUGCGUAGAUAUCUGGAGGAACACCGGGGGCGAAGGCGGCAUCCUGGACCGAAACUGACGCUGAGGAGCGAAAGCCAGGGGAGCAAACGGG
rnacentral:rRNA from 1 species